UACGUAGGGGGCAAGCGUUGUCCGGAUUUAUUGGGCGUAAAGAGCGUGUAGGCGGCCAUACAGGUCAGCUGUGAAAACUCGAGGCUCAACCUCGAGACGUCGGUUGAAACCGUAUGGCUAGAGUCCGGAAGAGGAGAGUGGAAUUCCCGGUGUAGCGGUGAAAUGCGCAGAUAUCGGGAAAGAACACCCGUGGCGAAGGCGGCUCUCUGGGACGGUACUGACGCUGAGACGCGAAAGCGUGGGGAGCGAACAGG
rnacentral:rRNA from 1 species